AGAGUUUGAUCCUGGCUCAGAAUGAACGCUGGCGGCAUGGAUUAGGCAUGCAAGUCGAACGGUGAAGUGGAGCUUGCUCCGCGGAUCAGUGGCGUAAGGGUGAGUAACACGUGAGCAACUUGCCCCCAAGUUCGGGAUAGCCUCGGGAAACCGUGAUUAAUACCGGAUGCGGUGCUCCUUCUGCAUGGUUGGAGUUACCAAAGAUUCAUCGCUUGGGGAUGGGCUCGCGACCUAUUAGCUUGUUGGUGAGGUAACGGCUCACCAAGGCUGUGACAGGUAGCUGGUCUGAGAGGAUGGUCAGCCACACUUGGACUGAGACACUGCCCAGACUCCUGCGGGAGGCUGCAGUCGAGAAUCAUCCGCAAUGGGCGAAAGCCUGACGGUGCAAUGCCGCGUGAGGGAUGACGGCCUUCGGGUUGUAAACCUCUGUCACCCGGGACGAAGAAGUGACGGUACCGGGAGAGGAAGCCACGGCUAACUACGUGCCAGCAGCCGCGGUAAGACGUAGGUGGCGAGCGUUAUUCGGAUUUACUGGGCGUAAAGGGUCCGCAGGGGGCUUGUCUAGUCUGAUGUGAAAUCCCAAGGCUCAACUUUGGAACUGCAUUGGAUACUGGCGAGCUAGAGUCUGCAAGGGGUAACCGGAAUUCCAGGUGUAGCGGUGGAAUGCGUAGAUAUCUGGAAGAACACCGAUGGCGAAGGCGGGUUACUGGUGCAGUACUGACCCUCAUGGACGAAAGCGUGGGUAGCGAACAGGAUUAGAUACCCUGGUAGUCCACGCUGUAAACGUUGUGCACUAGAUGUGGGAGGUCUGAUCCCUCUCGUGUCCAAGCUAACGCGUUAAGUGCACCGCCUGGGGACUACGGUCGCAAGACUAAAACUCAAAGGAAUUGACGGGGGCCCGCACAAGCGGUGGAGCAUGUGGCUCAAUUCGAGGCAACGCGAAGAACCUUACCUGGGUUUGACAUGUACCGGACCGCCGGUGAAAGCCGGUUUCCCUUCGGGGCCUGUACACAGAUGCUGCAUGGCUGUCGUCAGCUCGUGUCGUGAGAUGUUCGGUUAAGUCCGGCAACGAGCGCAACCCGUGUCACUAGUUGCCAGCACGUUAUGGUGGACUCUAGUGAGACUGCCCGUGUCAAGCGGGAGGAAGGCGCGGAUGACGUCAAGUCAGUAUGGCUCUUACGUCCAGGGCUGCACACGUGCUACAAUGUCAGUACAAUGAGACGCGAAAUCGCGAGGUGGAGCAAAUCUCCAAAACUGGCCCCAGUUCGGAUCGGAGUCUGCAACUCGACUCCGUGAAGUCGGAAUCGCUAGUAAAGGUGCAUCAGCAACGGCACCUUGAAUACGUUCCCGGGCCUUGUACACACCGCCCGUCACAUCAUGGAAGCUGGCUGCACCCGAAGUCCACGACCUAACCCCUCGGGGAAGGAGUGGCCGAAGGUGUGUCCAGUAACUGGGAUGAAGUCGUAACAAGGUA
rnacentral:rRNA from 1 species